UAUUUUGAUGUAAUGUAACAAUCCAAAUUGUAAUGUCUAAUACAUGUACACAGGAACGUUGCUCUUGUUUAACAACAUCAGCUAUAUUCAUGUACUUUAACAAAAUGAUCUUCAAAAACUCUUAUAAUUUAACUAAGGAGUAUGCAUUGCAAGUGUAAACAAUUUAAAGCUUCAAGGGGCCAGCCGACCACUGUCUAAGUAUGCGGUGUCUGAUUACGUGUGACUAUAUCAUAAUGUAGACUUUUGACUUAAUGACCCGAUUUAGCCAAUGUUCUUUAAAAAAAAAUUCAUUAUUCAUAUAAUUGUGUACUUCCAAUUUUAUGAUAUGGUAGGAUAUAUUCAGUCAGUCGAAUUAGUUUUUGACUGUGAUAAGGCUUUACUAUGUAAGAUACAAUCUGAUUAAAUCUUUGAUCCGCUCCGAUAAAGUCAAUGUCGCUACAUAGUGACAUGGAAUUUGUCGGAGCGGAUCAAAGACUGUAGCGACAAUCGAAUUUGUCGGAGCGGAUCAAAGAAUGGAGCGACAUCGAAUUUGUCGGAGCGGAUCAAAGAUCUGAUUUUAAUCAGAUUGCAGUAAGAUGUAAAACUUGGUUAUCGACCACGGCUAUUUUUUUUAUCAUUCAAUUUCUAUAUCUAUUUGUUUCUUCUUUUUUUGCAAUAUAGUUAAUUCUAUGUUUCUACCAUAGAUUUCAUUUGAAUUGCUUUCCAGAAACGAAGGUACUAAAACAUAAUUUUUUGUACAUCGGUUUGUUAUUAAAUAAAAUUUAUUAUUUUGUGUUCAACAUGAUUUAAGUGUAAUAUAUUUAUUUCAUUACAGGGGAAUAAUGAUAUUAGAUAAAUAUGAAAUAUGUAUUAAUAUCAUUCUGAUGGGAAAUAAAUAUAUGCAGCU
rnacentral:sRNA from 1 species